UAGGCUGGUAACAGGAGAAGGCUGACUCUGCCUCUAGCCAUCUAUCAGCUGCUGCUCUCUGUGGGCUAAAGUCAGGUAGGAAACUAGAGAGACAGGCUGGGCGUAUACUGCAGCACAUUGGGGGCUAAGUGUGUGUGAGAGAGUCGGUUUACACCGACACAGUCAGUGAAGUACAGAAGGGUGGAGUGGAGAGGAGCUCAGUGGGAGUGUGAGUGUGCGUGGAGGAGUGUGAGAGACAUUUAACCACUUCAGACCAUGAACAUGAAGCACCGGAGGUUCUCCCUUGACAGCUCAGUGUCCCUGGAGGAUGGUGAUGGAGGUAAUCUGCUGGACCAGAGGAAAGGCAGCCGCAGUAGGCCUAAGAAGAGUGGAGAGAGGAGGAAAAGCCACAGUCUAGAGGAGGCACAGCUAGAAACACAGGGGCUGGGAUGCAGCCUGAACCGGAGCAACUCACUCAGGUCACAGACCAUAGAGGAGGAGAGCUUCCAUCGGCCUGAUGGCGUCAUUGUCACCAAAAAUAGCUUUGUGAAAUACAACAAAGCCUUUCACAAACUCUUCGAAGACAUUCCUGCAGAGGAGAAACUAACUCAUGCGUUCACCUGUGCCCUGCAGAAGGAAGUGUUGUAUCAUGGGAAGCUAUUUGUGUCUGUCAACUAUGUGUGUUUCUACUCCUCCGUACUCCUCAAAGACACCAAGGUGGUGGUUCACGUGUCCAGCAUUAAGGAAGUGAAAAAGCAGAACUCAGCCUUGUCUAUGCUCUCCAUCCACACUACGGAUGGAGACAAGUAUUUGUUGGUGUCUUUGCGGAACCGGCAAGUGUGUUACAAAAUCCUGCAGACUGUGUGUACACAAGCACAGACUGUGUUCACACAGCAGCAGGGGGAGCAGGGGGAGAAUGGUAGCAGCAGUUCCCACGUCUCGCCAGGAGAGAACGGUGUUGACGACGUGAAUCAGGACAUAGCCACGAUAUCCAGCCACUCUAGCCUGGAGGACAGUAUGGAGCAGAGCCUUCCUAAAGAGACUGUCUACUCUGACCUGCCCAGCAGAGGGAGGGACAGCUCCACUCCUAGAAGCAGCAUCAGCAAAGACCAGGACGAUCAGUUCACAUUCACAGAGGAGGACGACUCAGCUAACUCGUGUUUUUGGAGAGUCACUGAAAGGAUUAAAUCUCUCCUCCUCAUCAGAGAGAUGAGCAACCUCAACGUCCUCCUCUCCAUCUAUCUGUUUCUCUUAUGCCUUCCUAACUUGCCGAAGAGGAAGGAAACCAUUCAGGAAUUUCACCAGGAGGCCAAUGGGUGGUGCUUCUACUGCUGUCAUCAGGGUACAUCGGCCUGCGGAUCUUAGCACUGGAGGAGCAGCUGAGUUCCCUAGGGGCCCUGCCUGAGUUCUCCAUACACCACAGAGAGUGAGCAAACACGCACGCACCGCGGGAUACAGGUACAAGGAAACGUAGUCUGCAGAGACACACAAGCAGGAAGAAUAAAGAGCAAGACUGUUUGUCCAAAGCCACAGGACAACAAACUACGCAGAUCCACUUACUGUAUAAAGGGUCUCAAUUUCACGUCGUCUUGUGACUCGUGCGAUGGACCAUUGUUAAAAUACUCAGUAUUUAUUUGUGGAUCUCCCGAUCUGUUGAGGAGACAGAUCACUUAGAAUCUACGACUCUAGCGCCCCGUAGUGGUGUUUCUCAGAAAUGUGGAAAAUGUUGACUUCAUACAAAGCAACAUACCUUUUUACCUUUUUCUUGGUAGCCUAUAUUUAGUAGAAUUUGAUUUCAGGCCGUCGCAGUCCACUCCUAAAAUAAAUUGUCUUCCUGCUCUAUUUGUUUGUCUCAACUCAACUGGUUAUGCCUGUUUUAUUGUCUUGCUGUAAAUUGUGUUAUUUUUGAAAGUAAUUAAAGUCAGCAAUUACUUUAA